ACUCUAUACGGAGUUACAAAGGACGACAUUAGACGAAUCAUCUGGAAAGAUGAAUCAAAGAAGGUAAUAAUCCUGUAGUCGAAAAUGUUGUCUCUCUUGAGUGGAUCCUGAGUACGACGGAGCACGUGAAAUUCCGUCGGAAUCUGGGAGGACCAUCUCCUAAGGCUAAAUACUCUCUAGUGACCGAUAGUGAACCAGUACCGUGAGGGAAAGGUGAAAAGCACCCCGGAAGGGGAGUGAAAUAGAACCUGAAACCGUGUGCUUACAAGUAGUCAGAGCCCGUUAAUGGGUGAUGGCGUGCCUUUUGUAGAAUGAACCGGCGAGUUACGAUUUGAUGCAAGGUUAAGCAGUAAAUGUGGAGCCGUAGCGAAAGCGAGUCUGAAUAGGGCGUUUAGUAUUUGGUCGUAGACCCGAAACCAGGUGAUCUACCCUUGGUCAGGUUGAAGUUCAGGUAACACUGAAUGGAGGACCGAACCGACUUACGUUGAAAAGUGAGCGGAUGAACUGAGGGUAGCGGAGAAAUUCCAAUCGAACCUGGAGAUAGCUGGUUCUCUCCGAAAUAGCUUUAGGGCUAGCCUCAAGUGAUGAUUAUUGGAGGUAGAGCACUGUUUGGACGAGGGGCCCCUCUCGGGUUACCGAAUUCAGACAAACUCCGAAUGCCAAUUAAUUUAACUUGGGAGUCAGAACAUGGGUGAUAAGGUCCGUGUUCGAAAGGGAAACAGCCCAGACCACCAGCUAAGGUCCCAAAAUAUAUGUUAAGUGGAAAAGGAUGUGGCGUUGCCCAGACAACUAGGAUGUUGGCUUAGAAGCAGCCAUCAUUUAAAGAGUGCGUAAUAGCUCACUAGUCGAGUGACACUGCGCCGAAAAUGUACCGGGGCUAAACAUAUUACCGAAGCUGUGGAUUGUCCUUUGGACAAUGGUAGGAGAGCGUUCUAAGGGCGUUGAAGCAUGAUCGUAAGGACAUGUGGAGCGCUUAGAAGUGAGAAUGCCGGUGUGAGUAGCGAAAGACGGGUGAGAAUCCCGUCCACCGAUUGACUAAGGUUUCCAGAGGAAGGCUCGUCCGCUCUGGGUUAGUCGGGUCCUAAGCUGAGGCCGACAGGCGUAGGCGAUGGAUAACAGGUUGAUAUUCCUGUACCACCUAUAAUCGUUUUAAUCGAUGGGGGGACGCAGUAGGAUAGGCGAAGCGUGCGAUUGGAUUGCACGUCUAAGCAGUAAGGCUGAGUAUUAGGCAAAUCCGGUACUCGUUAAGGCUGAGCUGUGAUGGGGAGAAGACAUUGUGUCUUCGAGUCGUUGAUUUCACACUGCCGAGAAAAGCCUCUAGAUAGAAAAUAGGUGCCCGUACCGCAAACCGACACAGGUAGUCAAGAUGAGAAUUCUAAGGUGAGCGAGCGAACUCUCGUUAAGGAACUCGGCAAAAUGACCCCGUAACUUCGGGAGAAGGGGUGCUCUUUAGGGUUAACGCCCAGAAGAGCCGCAGUGAAUAGGCCCAAGCGACUGUUUAUCAAAAACACAGGUCUCUGCUAAACCGUAAGGUGAUGUAUAGGGGCUGACGCCUGCCCGGUGCUGGAAGGUUAAGAGGAGUGGUUAGCUUCUGCGAAGCUACGAAUCGAAGCCCCAGUAAACGGCGGCCGUAACUAUAACGGUCCUAAGGUAGCGAAAUUCCUUGUCGGGUAAGUUCCGACCCGCACGAAAGGCGUAACGAUUUGGGCACUGUCUCAACGAGAGACUCGGUGAAAUCAUAGUACCUGUGAAGAUGCAGGUUACCCGCGACAGGACGGAAAGACCCCGUGGAGCUUUACUGUAGCCUGAUAUUGAAAUUCGGCACAGCUUGUACAGGAUAGGUAGGAGCCUUUGAAACGUGAGCGCUAGCUUACGUGGAGGCGCUGGUGGGAUACUACCCUAGCUGUGUUGGCUUUCUAACCCGCACCACUUAUCGUGGUGGGAGACAGUGUCAGGCGGGCAGUUUGACUGGGGCGGUCGCCUCCUAAAAGGUAACGGAGGCGCUCAAAGGUUCCCUCAGAAUGGUUGGAAAUCAUUCAUAGAGUGUAAAGGCAUAAGGGAGCUUGACUGCGAGACCUACAAGUCGAGCAGGGUCGAAAGACGGACUUAGUGAUCCGGUGGUUCCGCAUGGAAGGGCCAUCGCUCAACGGAUAAAAGCUACCCCGGGGAUAACAGGCUUAUCUCCCCCAAGAGUUCACAUCGACGGGGAGGUUUGGCACCUCGAUGUCGGCUCAUCGCAUCCUGGGGCUGUAGUCGGUCCCAAGGGUUGGGCUGUUCGCCCAUUAAAGCGGUACGCGAGCUGGGUUCAGAACGUCGUGAGACAGUUCGGUCCCUAUCCGUCGUGGGCGUAGGAAAUUUGAGAGGAGCUGUCCUUAGUACGAGAGGACCGGGAUGGACAUACCUCUGGUGUACCAGUUGUCGUGCCAACGGCAUAGCUGGGUAGCUAUGUGUGGACGGGAUAAGUGCUGAAAGCAUCUAAGCAUGAAGCCCCCCUCAAGAUGAGAUUUCCCAACUUCGGUUAUAAGAUCCCUCAAAGAUGAUGAGGUUAAUAGGUUCGAGGUGGAAGCAUGGUGACAUGUGGAGCUGACGAAUACUAAUCGAUCGAAGACUUAAUCAA
rnacentral:rRNA from 1 species